rnacentral:rRNA from 1 species
GACGAACGCUGGCGGCGUGCCUAAUACAUGCAAGUUGAGCGCUGAAGGUUGGUACUUGUACCAACUGGAUGAGCAGCAAACGGGUGAGUAACGCGUGGGGAAUCUGCCUUUGAGCGGGGGACAACAUUUGGAAACGAAUGCUAAUACCGCAUAAAAACUUUAAACACAAGUUUUAAGUUUGAAAGAUGCAAUUGCAUCACUCAAAGAUGAUCCCGCGUUGUAUUAGCUAGUUGGUGAGGUAAAGGCUCACCAAGGCGAUGAGACAUAGCCGACCUGAGAGGGUGAUCGGCCACAUUGGGACUGAGACACGGCCCAAACGCCUACGGGAGGCAGCAGUAGGGAAUCUUCGGCAAUGGACGAAAGUCUGACCGAGCAACGCCGCGUGAGUGAAGAAGGUUUUCGGAUCGUAAAACUCUGUUGGUAGAGAAGAACGUUGGUGAGAGUGGAAAGCUCAUCAAGUGACGGUAACUACCCAGAAAGGGACGGCUAACUACGUG